AUGCCUUCCUGGAACGACGAGGAAACGAGCUCGGAGGAGGACUGCCAGGUCGUUAGCAUGGACAUGGGACUUAUGGAGGAACCAGACACCAUUGUGGAGCCCCUUUUCUGUGGCCAACUUGAGCUUGCUCAAGCCAAGUGCAUUCUGCACCAAAUGAGGCCUAUUAAGCGUGUUGCUUAUGAAGGCAUUGAAAAUGGUGUGAAUUGUGAUGUUGUAGAGUGGGUUGAUGGACCUUGGCCUCCUGUUCUUCAGAGAUGUCUUUCCAAGCUAUGGGAAAUGUUCCAUGAGCAAAACUGUGGAAGGAUACUUGACAAGGAGAAGUUUGAGAAGGAGUUGGCCAAACUUAAGUGUGAACAUGAAAGGGAGUUGGCCAAGCUUAAGAUGGAAAAUGACAAGCUUUGCAUUGAGUACACCAAGCUUGUUGAUGAUGUAUCCAAGAUGUUUGAUUGGUAG
rnacentral:rRNA from 1 species